CCUGCAAACAGAGGGGCGGGGGGUUUCUCUUCACACAAAAGAACUGCAUCGGCGAGACGCCUGUAAUUUGCUGUCGCUUUGAUGCGAAGGCAUCAGGCAGUACCUGAGGUGUGUUAGAGCGCUGCCUUCUGCUGCCUCGCAAAUCCAGCCUUGCUGGCUACAACGCUAAUUUUGACAGUUUCGGUUUGAUAAGUGUUUCCUUGCCCCUGCGUGGGGCUCACUAAAUUGCAAGCUUCUUACAGCGUGGGUCUAGAGCCUGGAAGCAUAAGCUUUCUGAGCGUGGGUCGCAAGCUAUGUAAGGAUGACAACAAAGAAUGUGUAGCCCUCUCCCCCCUCCCCUUUACUUAAUACGCACCCAUCGUGCCAGAAAUAGGUGUGUUAAAAUCACAGUGGGGAAUAUGGCACGUGGCGAUUAAAUGCUAAUACAACUUCUUCAGCAUUCGGUACAAAACAGUAUUCUGGGAUUAUUUAGUAUUGUCUACUACAUGUGUGCCUUGCAAGGCUAAUAGCUAUUUGUAUUCCAUGUUAUAUUGUGCUUUUUCUUUCAGCUACCCCUGAAGUCGGUUCCUUUUGUGAUGGUGUGAUAGAUGGCACAGACUUACACAUUCUUAGAGCAAAGGACUUACGUGCGAUGAUACAGUGUUUGUCCUGUGAUCAAUCCAAUACAAGACUUCUAAAUACCUUGCAAAGGAUGUUAUAUUCAAACAAAAGCUACACGUUCUCAGGCAAGACGUUUAGGUGGAACAUCUGGAUUCAUUAACAAAGAUGGCUUUUUCUCAUUUGCAAGCUGAUGAAGCAGGAAAAAAACCCAACCCAAAAUCACUGAAAACUGUCAAAAAGAGUCUUCCCUGUCGCAAAAAUGGUCUGAUACUGCCUUAGCCUGCUGUAUACACAGCGCUGGAGAGAGUGCCAGGCAAAGCUCAGUGACUUCCCUCUGCAUACCCUGCACACUCUGUGUUACAGAAACC
rnacentral:lncRNA from 14 species